rnacentral:rRNA from 1 species
UACGAAGGGGGCUAGCGUUGCUCGGAAUCACUGGGCGUAAAGGGUGCGUAGGCGGGUCUUUUAAGUCAGGGUGAAAUCCUGGAGCUCAACUCCAGAACUGCCUUUGAUACUGAGGAUCUUGAGUACGGGAGAGGUGAGUGGAACUGCGAGUGUAGAGGUGAAAUUCGUAGAUAUUCGCAAGAACACCAGUGGCGAAGGCGGCUCACUGGCCCGUUACUGACGCUGAGGCACGAAAGCGUGGGGAGCAAAGCAGG